rnacentral:rRNA from 1 species
AUUUUAAUUAUUUAGUUUGUUAACCUUUUAUAUAGAGGUAAAAUUUGAAUAUAAAAAGCUAAUUUAGUUAUAACUUAUAUUAUUGAAGCUGUGAUAAUCUUGAGGGAAACUGGGAUUAGAUACCCCAUUAUUCUUGAUUGUAAACUUAAUUAGAUUUACCAGAGUACUAUGAAUAUAAAAAAUUUAAAACUCAAAGGGCUUGGCGGUGUUUUAGACCUAUCAGGGGAACCUGUUUCAUAAUCGAUAGUCCACGUUAGACCUGACCUUAUUUUGUAUUUCAGUUUGUAUACCGUCGUCGUCAGGUAACUUUUAAAAAUUUAGAAGUUAGCAAAAGAAUUUUAAAUUAAAACGUUAGAUCAAGGUGCAGCUAAUAGUAAGGAGAAAAUGGGUUACAAUUAUUUUAAUUUAUAAUUACGGAAAAUUCCAUGAAAUUGUAAUUGGAAGGAGGACUUGAAAGUAAAGUGUAAUAUAUAAAUAACUUGAAUAUGGCUCUG